rnacentral:rRNA from 1 species
GGACGAACGCUGGCGGCGUGCCUAACACAUGCAAGUCGAGCGAGGAGAUUCCUCGGGAUGAUCCUAGCGGCGGACGGGUGAGUAACACGUGGGCAACCUGCCUCAUAGAGAGGAAUAGCCUUCCGAAAGGGAGAUUAAUACCUCAUAACAUUGCAGUUUCGCAUGGAACAGCAAUUAAAGGAGCAAUCCACUAUGAGAUGGGCCCGCGGCGCAUUAGCUAGUUGGUGAGGUAACGGCUCACCAAGGCGACGAUGCGUAGCCGACCUGAGAGGGUGAUCGGCCACAUUGGGACUGAGACACGGCCCAGACUCCUACGGGAGGCAGCAGUGGGGAAUAUUGCACAAUGGGGGAAACCCUGAUGCAGCCAACGCCGCGUGAGUGAUGACGGCCUUCGGGUUGUAAAGCUCUGUCUUCAGGGACGAUAAUGACGGUACCUGAGGAGGAAGCCACGGCUAACUACGUGCCAGCAGCAGC